GAGGGAUGGAGGUGGGAGCCGGCGUGGGGCGAGGGAUGGAGGUGGGAGCCGGCAUGGGACGAGGGAUGGAGCUGGGAACUGGUUUGGGGCGAGGGAUGGAGCUGCUGUGGGGUGAAGAGGGCUGCAGGGAGCCGGCACGGGGCGAAGGAUGAAGUUGGUGUAGGGCGAGCAAUGGAGAAGGAUGCGCUGGGAUAAGCUGAUGUGAACAGCGGCUGCUCCGCUUGCAGGUGUCAGAGGCCCCGAGUGGCCCCUCGGCCCCGCGUGGCCCCAUGAACGUGGUGCAGGACAGCUAUGAGUCAGUGAUCUCCCUGGCGGAAGAGAUCGCCAUGAGCUGGCCACGAAUAUGUGCCUUUGCAGAGCCCCCCAGGUGCCUAAGCUUGCUGUGCUAUGUUGACAUGGAGCCACCCCGGGGGCAGCUGGAGCCGCCGCAGGGUCUGGCAACGACCCCCUGGAGCCAGGGGCUGUUGCUGCCCGAUUUCCGGAAGCAGCUCAUGGCCAUCAUGCAAACCAUCGGCCAGAGCCAGGUGGAGAAAAUGCUACGGGAGCUGGUGAAGGAGCAGAAGCAAGAAGGGAGAGUCCAGUGGUGCCGCAGGCCCGUGAAGAGCCUUGGCAGCGGAGCAGGCAGCAGGACUCAGAAAGUGAAGGAAGAAGUGCCUCCUCAGGACGGCGGCGUGGAGCCGACGGGUGCCUGGGGCAUGUUUUCAGGGAUGCCCAGAGGCUCAGAGCAGCACCCAGCCCUGGCAGCCCAGCAGGGCCCUGAAGAGGCACCCGAGAGCCCUCCGGCAGCCCCCCAUGGCAAACCGGCUCGGGCGGGAGCCCUCGGGAAGGCCAGAGACGUCCCAACCCCUCCAAAACGCUGGCCAGAGGAGCAGGGCCGAGGCUGGGGGGCCGGCUGCAAGGAGGGCUGCGGUGGGCCGUGCGCCGCCCCCC
rnacentral:lncRNA from 1 species